CGGGGUGGGGAGAAGACAGGUGAUGGCUGACACACGCGCACACACACACACACACAACACACACACACAUGCACACUUUAUAACCAUGUGGCUAUAGGAUUUCGAUCGAUGAUGCUAGACGCUUGAUCGGUUCCUGUAUAUUGCCAAACUAUUCAAUACGCUAAUAAACGAAUGUUAUCUUCCAAUUAGCUUUCGUUUGUUCCCACUUCAAUGCAUAAAAUUCUCUAGAAAAAUAAAUUACGAUUCGACUUUAACAAAUUUUUUAUUUCAUUUUUUGGCAUUUCGAAAAAAAAAAUUUAAUUUAGCAUAUUUUUACUCGAUUUAAUUGGAGUAGAUGGUAAAAAGUUUCCUCGGGCCUACUACGUACGCCACCGGGUUCUAAUCAUAUUUUGGUGAUUAAUUAACGACGUUUAUAACCACCGAUAACGUCAUCCAUUUAUGCAUUUAAUUUGGUAAAAAGCAAAGAAAAUUUUCCCCUUACCUCGACCAUGAGGUCGAACAUGGAACCACUAAUCAUAGGCCAAUUGAAUAGUCGUGUUUGUGAAACGUCCAUUCAAUUUACUUCAAUGGUAUUACUGUUAAGAUAAUUUCCUUGUUCUGACGUUGAAAACUGUCAAUGGAAAGAAUUGCAUUUUUGAAAAGUGGACGAUAUAUAAUUCUUUAAAUGGUUACUUAUCGGCACACGUGGUUUUUUUUUUUCCUUUCUUUUAUUAUUCCCCUCUCUCUCUCUGUCUCUCUGUUCAAUCUGGAAGUUUUUAGUCGACGAGUUUUAACGAACUGGAGCGAAAUUAUAGGUUAUAAAACGUAUAAGAAGUUUAGUAAAUACCCAUAAUUGCAACUAAUUUUAACAAUAAAGCUAAUUCAGAAAUAGCUUUAAAGGAAAACAGAUGUUCGAACGGACAAAUAGCAACACAGGCGCUUCCUAAAGGAAACAGUACCGAAAUAGAUAAAGUUUUCCUAUAUUUAAUACGAGGAUAAACAAUAUAAUUAAAAUCAGAAUAGUUCAAUUGUAUUCUGUAUUGUCAUACGAAUAGAUAACGUCAGCUUUUCGGAUAAACAGCAAAUCUUUAAAGGAAACAAUACAAGCGUUUACAAUUGUAAUCAGACUCAAUUAUAACGAAAACAAUAAUGGCAAUCAUUCUAAACUAAACCCUUAGGAGUAACCAUAUAUAUUAAUAAUGCCCCCCGAGAGUAGAUAUCACCGGUCUGACAGGUGUAACUAAUGAUCCGCUGCCUACCUUUUAACGUAGCACCACUCCAAUGUGCAAUUAUGCCAGGUAAUGAUGAUGAUAAUCGGAUAUAUCUCACUGACAAGUGGUUUCACGCUCCGCCGCUCUCGCCACUUUACCUGUCACACCUGACGACUCACCUGAAUGAUAAAGGAUUUAAUUCAGCUCGAAUAUUUGAUAAAGUUAAUUCGUUUAUUAGAGUUUGCAACCACCAAAACGGCCGUGGAUAAAUGCGAAAUUGCCUUUUAGAAAUCCAUUUAGAUACAGAUAAAUUAUGGCUUCUCUCCUUCUUGAUCGUUUUCCUAUAAUAGUUGUUUGAUUGAAAGAUAUUAAUAAGAGUUUAAAUACCUCUUUUUUUAUAUUAUUACUAUUACUAUUAUUACUAUUAUUAAAGAGGAAUGGAGAUGAUUAAAAAUGAUUCAUUCGAAUGCAAAACUGGAAUAGAAAAGUAGCGGGCGACAUUUCGUCGCGUAUGAUUGACAAAAAUCGUAUUAGGCGUCAAUGGAAACAGCGGAUUAUCAAUCUUUGUUAGCAGAAUAAGGCAAUGUUGAAUGUCAACGACUACUGACAAUCGAGUUAUUGAGCCUCCAACAGUCGUAGGAAUGUUAGAGACCAAACUGCAAAUCGUCUCUAACAUUCUUCCUUUUAAAUCCCCUUACCAAAUAUAAGGAUUUCGAAAAUUAAAUGCUCUCGCUUCAAUUUUUGCCUUUAGGAUGUGUUUCCUUCUCUGUAUAAGUUUAUAACUCUCUCAUUAUCGUGUUUAUACGCCAUACUCUUUAAAUUCCUC
rnacentral:lncRNA from 1 species